AUGUAUCUCGUUUUGGUGUCUCUCUUGGUGCUCCUCCGGUUACGUGUGAGCGUGAUAGCUAGCGCCGAUUUCUUCCUUUGCGUCGUCCGUCGAUGUGUGCGUUUCUUCUUCCGGACGGCAGCUGCUCCACCGUUGUCGCACAGACGAAAGCACGGCGUGCGUGCGUGCGCCGUGCGGGCCGUAUUGAUUUGGGGUCAAGGGAGUAGGCGGUGCGGCGGUGGUCACACACACUCCCACCGGACCGCCGGUGUGGACGGAAUGAACUGGAGCAACAGCCGUCGCUCGCUGGCUCGCGGGCCUAUUGAAUGA
rnacentral:rRNA from 1 species